rnacentral:lncRNA from 1 species
CUUUGAGAGGCAGAGUAAUAAACAAGAUGGACCAAAGAACUCUUUCUGUUCCAGGAAGCGCAUGCAGGGGACAGAUGCUGGGUUGUGGUCUGGAGAUCUGCUGAGGACCCAGGUGCUCAGGAUGGCAGGAGGCUGGGAAUCCUGUGUGGACUCACUGCUUGGAGCUGAACACUGAACCUGCUUUCUGGCUUCUGACCUCCCCAAAGCCCGCAAGCCCACUGCAGCCUGGACCUCAGAAUAUUGUGUGGCAAUUCUCAUGAUACAGCCAAACCUAACUCACCUAUUCUCAGUACCUGACCAAUGCAUUAAAGAAAGAUUCUCAAACAAGAUCUGUGUCUCUGGGAUUGAUACCUACGAAGACUCAAAAUUGAAGAACUAUAAGGACUGAGUAUUCUAGUGCCUGCUGUACUGGGUAAAUUAAAUCCAAAAGAACUGGGGGAAGAAAUGCUUCCAUGUUUUGCCUAUAUAAACCCAAUAUUUAGUUAGUUACCUGUUUCACAAGAACCUGUGACUAAGGUGAAGAGAAAUGAUCUCUUCCUUUAUACAAUUACCUAAUUUCUUACAGCUUUCUAAGUCAGUUUUCAGUUAAGCACCAUUUCCUACAUGAACUGUUAUUCCUACCAAAUGCAACUGUUUGUUACAUAGGGCUGAACUGGACGUAAUUUAAACAUUUUCAUGAAAAAACAAACCACUAAUUGGCUUAACACUACACCCUUAUCAGGAAGGAGAAGCAUUUACAGAAAAUACAGUUUGUGAAGAAUAAACGUAUUUUGGAACCUGAGCCAAAGGUUUCUCACCAAUACCUUAAUAAGUCACCGUGCAGGUUGUUUUCACAGGCAACAACACAGCCAGGUCAACUGUUGCUCCUGGCAACUUCCAUUGUCCCAAAAUAUGUGGAAGAUGGAGAAGCCAAUGACUGAAAUCCACAGUUAGGAAUACAGGCCAAAAGCUCAACAAACUGCUACUGGAAGCAACUGGAUACCAUAAU